rnacentral:rRNA from 1 species
GGCGGAAGGGUGAGUAAUGGGUAGAUAACGUACCCAGGAGAUGGGCAUAACGGUUCGAAAGAACCGCUAAUUCCCGAUGAGACCACGGGUGGGCCUCCACCUGAGGUCAAAAGCGGGGGACCUUCGGGCCUCGCGCUCUUGGAUCGGUCUACUCCCUACCAGCUAGUUGGCGGGGUAACGGCCCACCAAGGCUACGACGGGUACCCGGGCUGAGAGGCUGAUCGGGCACAUCGGCACUGAGACACUGGCCGGACACCUACGGGUGGCUGCAGUUCGGAAUAUUCGGCAAUGGGCGCAAGCCUGACCGAGCGACGCCGCGUGCGGGAUGAAGGCCCUCUGGGUUGUAAACCGCUGUCACAGGUGAGCAAAUCAUCCGGUUUUAACAGAGCCGGAUGUUGAGUUAAGCUUGAGAGGAAGCCCCCGCUAAUCACGUGCCAGCAGCGGCGGUAAUACGUGAGGGGCGAACGUUGUUCGGUGUCACUGGGCUUAAAGGGCGCGUAGGUGGCUGCGUAAGUAAGGUGUGAAAGCCCUCGGCUUACCCGGGGAAUCGCGCCUUAUACUGCGUGGCUUGAGGGUCACAGGGGAAGGGGGAACUCCAGGUGUAGCGGUGAAAUGCGCAGAUAUCUGGGGGAAGGCCGGCGGCGAAGGCGCCCUUCUGGGUGAUUCCUGACACUGAGGCGCGAAAGCGUGGGGAGCAAACAGGAUUAGAUACCCUGGUAGUCCACGCCCUAAACGAUGGAUACUAAGUAGGGGUCUCUGCAAAGGGGAUCCUUGCCGGAGCAAAAGCGUUAAGUAUCCCGCCUGGGGAGUAUGGUCGCAAGGCUGAACUCAAGGAAUUGACGGGGCUCACACAAGCGGUGGAGCAUGUGCUUAAUUCG